rnacentral:rRNA from 1 species
CCUACGGGAGGCAGCAGUGGGGAAUAUUGCACAAUGGGGGAAACCCUGAUGCAGCGACGCCGCGUGAGCGAAGAAGUAUUUCGGUAUGUAAAGCUCUAUCAGCAGGGAAGAUAAUGACGGUACCUGACUAAGAAGCCCCGGCUAACUACGUGCCAGCAGCCGCGGUAAUACGUAGGGGGCAAGCGUUAUCCGGAUUUACUGGGUGUAAAGGGAGCGUAGACGGCAAGGCAAGUCUGAUGUGAAAACCCAGGGCUUAACCCUGGGACUGCAUUGGAAACUGUCUGGCUCGAGUGCCGGAGAGGUAAGCGGAAUUCCUAGUGUAGCGGUGAAAUGCGUAGAUAUUAGGAAGAACACCAGUGGCGAAGGCGGCUUACUGGACGGUAACUGACGUUGAGGCUCGAAAGCGUGGGGAGCAAACAGGAUUAGAUACCCCUGUAGUC